rnacentral:tRNA from 1 species
GCUGAAAUAGCUCAGAUGAUACAGCAUUAGACUAUAUAUCCAAAAGUCCCUAGUUCAAUCCCGGGUGCG